rnacentral:lncRNA from 1 species
CGAGAUUCUAGAGGCAUAAGUUUCUAAUGCCCCUUACUCAGAACAGAGCCCAGACCUUGACGGAGCGAAUCCGUCCUGUAACCUGUCGGCUCUCGCCGCUAUUACGUGCUAACACUGCAAGGCGUAGACGGCUUCGGUUUCGACGCACGCAUACGAGUAUAUGAUUACGGGAUAUGGUCGUGUAGUAGCUGGUACACAGUACGGCUCUACAAAUACGCGCGUAGCGCGACCACCAGCAUCUCGAGAGGCCUUUUCAGCGGCCAGCUACUACAGGUCGGGAGAAAUUCGGUUGCCCGGCUAGGCGGUGAGUAGUCUCGGGGGAAGGGGGGUGGCUCGGGGGUUGGGUUGAUGGCUCGGCGGCUCGGCGGCUCGGCACGUUGGCGGCUUGGCGGUUUGGCAGCUUGGCGGCUCGGCGGCUUGAUGGCUCGGUGGUCUGGCUGCUUGGAAGUGUUGUCCUCGGCUGCAAGGGUGGGCAUUAAAUGGGUUGGAGAAGAGGAUGGUAUCAAAUGGUAUCAUUCGUACACAACACAUCAGUAUCUCUACAUCUUCAUGUAGCCAUAUGCAUCCAGGCAUUCGAGGCCCGCAGGCGCAUGCUGCGUCGGCUUCGAGGCCACGAGGCGCGCACGACGUCGGUUUCGAGGCCACCAUCGUCACCCAUGUAUGGACGUUGCCAUGCAUGUGAAUGGGCUGCAUGUGGAUAUACGUGAUAGACAUAUGGGGUUACCUGUCUUGCCUAUAGAGGUGAGUUAAGAGGGGGGCCGGGAAGAGGAGCUGGACCACCAAUAAGGGCGUGAAAAGGGAGAGUCCUUGGUGCAGGGCGUGAGACGGGAGAGCCCCAACACUUGCGUACUAACACCCGAGGGUGAUCAGCCCGACGGCUAGGAGAGCGUGAGAGGUGCGUACUCCUCGUAGGGCAUGGGACGCUCCCGGUCCACCCCACGGGGGCUUCAGUGGGUUCAAAUCCCGCAUUGAUCGAGGUAUGUGAGUUCGUACUGCCUCUGCCAUGCUGCCUGGGUCGAAGCUUCUUCCUUGCUGACUUCACACAAUCGCCCUGCGCAAACGUCUUGACCUUCUGGACUAAUUGGGCUAUCUGGAUCCCUAAGCUUGCUAACCUGGGCGGUUAUCAUCAGGAAUUCGAGGUAGGAAAAUAACGACACUCGGGUGUACUGCUGUCGCGUCAUUGUAUGGCCUUGGCGUUUAGGUGCGGCUUAACAACCGUCACAGGUGACGUUGCGUGUGAUGCGUUGCAUCACACGUUUACGAUUAUGCAUAUCGCAUUUCACAUUUACCUUCAACCUGUUCUGUGUAUGUGUCUACGUUGCAGGAUCGUGGAAGUGCAUACCCCGUACCUGUAAAAACCGCCUAAUACGCAUCGAGGGCAGAAGAGCUCCCUUCCUAAUCGCCUGUACGCACCAUCCCACCACUCCAGACACAGCAAGUGAUAAAGCUAACGACCAAAGGGAACGGUAGAGUUGCGACGGGACCACAUACGUUCCAGCAUCUUCGCCAGACGUUCAGGAUUCCACUUCAUAUAACGCCCUUCAUAUGCGCGAAGCGUGGGAAAUCCGUUUCAGACCUUCCAGCGGAUCAGUCCAGCGGAUCAGUCCAGCGAGAGGUGCUCCUCAGGAACUUUUUGCUGGUGAAGGCGAUUGGUUCUCCGUUCUUCAGUAGGGCUGCACCCGUACCGUGCAAGGACGCGUGAAACAGAGGUCACUUAGAACGUGAAAGGUCAUGUCCGGGUACCGGGUUAGCAGUACAUCGUCGGCCAACGCGUUUUUCACCAUCUCAAAUGCCUGUACCCGUUUAGGUGUCCAGUCUUCCGUCCGGAACGUGAUCAUGUAACAUAUCUCUGUGGGGAGCCGAAAGUGUGAAGCGUACGCUUUAACGAGGUUUCGGAAACAGCUCGUAAGCCCCAAGAACUGCCGUAACUCGGAUGUAUUCUUUGGCAACGGCCACUCACGGACAGUCUUCGCCUUCUUAGGAUCCAUGCGAACUCCGUCGGCACUAACGAUGUGACCGAGGUACUCAAUCUGAGUUUGCGCCCAGUGGCACUUUGACGACUUGGCAUGUAACCGUGUUCCCGUUUUAGCACUUCGAACAGGGUUUCAAGGUGUUUUAAGUGCUCUUCACGACUUCGGGAGUACACCAGGAUUUCAUCCAGGUAAACCACGACAAGCCUGCCGAGAAGGGGCUGGAAUAUUCGGUUCAUCACCACUUGGAACGUGGCUGGGGCAUUUGUUAGCCCGAACGGCAGGACAACGUACUCAUAGUCUCCUAGAGGUGUGCGAAACGCAGCGUGUCAAAACACAUCCUCAUCCCGAAUCUUAAUUUGGUGGUAUCCCUGUUGUAAGUCUCGAUGGAGGAGUAGGUGAUCAAGCUAUCCACCAAGUCAUCUACCCGCGGCAACGGAUAUCGGUUUUUAACCGUUUGUGUAUUCAGCCCUCGACAAUCCACCACCACCACCAUGCGUAACGUUCAAUCCUUCUUUCCCACGAAGAGGAUCGGAGCUGCCCCCGGGGAUGCACUAGGGCGAAUCACCCCCUUUUACAUUAACUCGGUUACUUGACGUUUCACCUCCUCCAGCUCAGUCUGUAAGCGACCCGGUUAGGCCGGUCGAGGCCGUUGAGGAGUCGUCGCUCAGGUUAAUGUGUAAACGGCCGAUUCGUCGGGUGAAUCGCGUUAGUAGGUCCAUACGAUGACAGGCGCACCGUCAGGGCUGUCGAAGGUCCCGUACUGCAGCAGCGAAAUGCCCGGCGAACGAGCCCGAAGCGUUUACAGGCUAAUGUACCCCAAAGGGUGACGCCAAGGGCUGCACGGCGGGCCUCGGGUCUCGAUACCACUUGUAGUGGUAUCACCCCUUGGCGGCUCCAGAGUUGAGAUUUAGGCGAUCAGAGAUGCCACUCUAAGAAGAAUAGACGUAGUUGUAUUAGGAGUGGAAUAAUACAUAAAUGGCUGAGAGAUAGUGUAAAAACAGGUUAGCCGCAGGCUGCCUUAAAUAGGACGUAGUCCUGCUCCGCUGAGCGGAAUGGUUAUCAAACCGGCCGAGCGUCAAUCAGUGACGGGGCGAAGUCCCUUCGUCAAUCACGACCGCUGAACCCUAGUCCGUUAUUUUGGGUAACAGAGUCCUUCUCGCACGUGACACUUCGCAUGUCACUCGUGCGUUACCACAACAACGUUGUGAUAUGCCGGAGCACCUCCUUCCUGCCCGCUUGCUCAGCAGCCAUCCAAUUCUAGGUUGCCAUGUGGAUUCCUGGUUGCUUCCCGUCUGGCGGAUACACGUCUUUGUGGACGUCUAGACCCGUAUGCGUCCAACCGCUCAUCAACCGAUCCUUGAGCUCCGAUACCACACCUUCCGGUAGUGGUUAUACAUUAGCCAUUCCAUUCGUUCAUCUGCCUCACGUAGCCCUUGCGGGGCCUCUUUCCAUACGUCGUGCCCCAGAAAACUCGGAAAACGGAGGACUAGUGACCCCCAUCCGUCCCCUUCGGAGUUGGAGAGGUCUCUACGAUUUCUCUCGCAGUCGCGUCAUACGACUGUGGCAUCGACAAAACACGUGCGUACGGCAGACCCAAGCUGUGAGCGGACACGGUUCCAAAACCUCGCAAUCUGCUUGAAAACGUGGUAGCGUAAAGGUGGGCGUGAAAAUUCAGUGAACAGGAGGCGGUGCGCUGGUCUGGCAGCUCCCCUGGUCUGUGCCGCAUGAACGAUACCUGAAAGCUGCACCACUCCAUCCCUCAGACAAUCCUCGAAGGGCCCCUCCGCAAGGUUACUCGCAUCAGUCAGCCUCCUGAGCUCGUCCAAGACUUCAGCCAACAUAAGCGGGCCCCAAGAUUGACAACCGUGCAGGAUUCCUCGUACCCGUACGUAUUGCUCGUACCUGCGUAUCAAAACACCUCUCAAACAUCUCGCAACCUGUUCUCAGGUUGAUUGGCAAUCCGCAGUUUGUUCCUUUUCCUACAUUUCCUUUUGGAGUGGAGUCUCCGGGCGCGCUGUUUCAUGUUCGUGUCCCGGCUGUAGAUUUGAGAGCUGCGCCCCGAGUGGGCGUCGUUAGUUUAGGGUAGGCGUUUUUGGUGCGGACCGUUCUCGGAGCAGGUUGAUGCGCCAGCCCCCUCCUCUAGGCCCCUUCUAUCACCCCUUUCCUUUCCUUCGUGGCGAUUUUCUUUUCUGCCGCAACUGUCUCCCUCCUCUCGUGAACCGGUGUUCUGUUGUCCCCAGAUCAACAUAAUGCGUUGUGGAUGAACUGACCCGAAUCUUUGGUCACUAGCGAGGGAAACACAUGUUUUUACUUAGCGUAUAGUGGAUCGUAACCUAUGCUCCGCGUACGACGGUUGCGCAAUACACGGCUUGUCACGUCUUGCCGACACCGACAGCGACCCACAGUGAAACGAAUCCCCCUACAAACUACAUCUAUCGCUACAUACAUCCGUACAUACGUGUGCACAGUUACAAUCUCGUCCGCCACAUUGCGACCCUCCCGCACACACACGAGCGAGCCGACUGAUCAGUCCUGAGCAAGACGCCGCCACAGCGGCCGCCCCGCCCCAUCCCACCCCGCCCCCAACAGAGAUGUUCAGAUGUGGGAGCCGCCGUUGCUGAGCAGCGACAAACAAACGUUUCAAUCAACGCCACCCACUACGUCGUCUGAUGACUACAUAGGUCUGCACGGCGCUCGGUGUUACCCAUCAAUCUGCGCGACACUCCCCUGGACUGAUGACUACUGAAGAACUUAUAUACUGACGUAUGCCGCGGACGGCUCCAAAACCGCACCAUCUGGCUGCGGGAGGGAUGCACCGUCGACCAGAUGGUUUCGUACCUCACAUUGUAGGAUCCUAGGAAAUCAGUUCUGCAAAUCAGUGGCCGCAUUCCGACCAUCACGACGGAACACCGGCCGUCCGCCGGCGCCAAUCCGAGGCGUCUUCUCCAUUACAACCAUUCUUGACCAACUAACCAACCGAAUGUACGGAAUGUGACGCAUCCCUCAUCUCAAACACGGCCGCGGCGGCGUCACUAUUAUUAUUACUAUUUCCUCAAGCAGCCGCCCGCCGGCGGCCCCCGAACUGUUACCCUCCGCAGCCAAGAGUACAGCAGCGGCAGCAGCAGCGAUCACCGCCACCACUGCUCGGGCAAGUGAGGGCUGAACAAACACCGGCAGCCAAAACAAUUAACUAAGCUCUAAACUAGGUAUCCAUUAUAGAACAGGACCGUACCGUACUGUACUGUGCCGUACCACGCCUUACAGCACAAAGACAGAACCCAAUAUCCACUUCUCCCAUCACUUGCACUGCACAGGGCCCCGCCCCUCCCCACUCCCGCCUCUCCCACCCCACCCACCCACACCCCUCGGGAAAACCCCCCGAGGAGGAGCCAUUUACACAUCGGGCUGGAGGUCGCCAUACAAGCCACGCCGCCGCGCCGGCGAGUACGAUCAGUCAAACUCGUCAGAGGCCGCCAAAGCCCCAGUCAGUUCAGUUCGUCAAACUCAGGAUCUAGUUCAUGGAGUCAAACCUCCAAUUGAUCAGUAAAAAAAAGUUAAUAAAUUUCUAAAGUUUCUCACGAAAUCCAAAUUUUCAGCAAAUGGUGCACCCAUCUCGGCGCGCAGCUGGCGUCGGCAGCUCCCCGGUCCGCAGUUCGCGCAACUGCGAGACCAACACGCACUGCUCCCUGGCCUCCGACAGAUCCGAGCCAAGUGACGUCAGCUGCUCACGGGCAGUACGGAGCUCGGCCUUCAGGCGGCUGAUGGUGAAGGCAGCCCACAGGGCCCCCG